rnacentral:tRNA from 1 species
GGCGUGGCUCAGCGGAAGAGCGUUUGCUUGGCAGGCAAAAGGUCCCAGGUUCAAUCCCCAGCAUAUCCA